ensembl:rRNA 5S_rRNA 5S ribosomal RNA
UGAUGCAUAGAACCAUCCUGAAUGUGUCUUAUAUCAGAAGCUAAGCAGGGGUGGGCCUGGUUAGUACUUGGAUGGGAGGCCCAUUGCAUUUAGAACAAACUUACCUGGCCUAAUUGCAUUAU